GGAGAGGUGGCAGAGCGGUCGAAUGCGGCGGUCUUGAAAACCGUUGACCGAAAGGUCCGUGGGUUCGAAUCCCACCCUCUCCGCCA
rnacentral:tRNA from 1 species